CGUGCUUCCUGUCUCUUGCACAAUAUGAUGAUUCUCUAUCUUAGUGCUGCCAUCUGGUGUCAACAAAUAUUAUGCUGUGAAGAGAAUCAGGCUUGGAAAAAGUGAAAUCUGCGGAAUUUAAAGCCACGAGAAUGGAUGGUCAGUCUCUUACCUUUUCUAACAAUUUUCAUCUCCAUUUUUUUUCCGUGCAAAUCAGAUUGUCGCGAAUCAGAUUGUCCUCACCAGAUGCAGCCAACAAUUCAUAAUUAGAGACUUAUUUCGACCAUGUCAUUUUAUUCCUCAUCAUAAAAGUUGGUGGAUCACGUAACGACUGUUCUCAAUCGAGAGCAUUGCCAUCCCCAUUGAGCUUUCCCACGGACAAAGUGAAAUAGAUUAGUAGUAUAGUUCCCAUGCUUGACCUGCCACAGACGAUAAGAUUACUCAAUCAAUGAACUUAUAAUGUUCUUUCUACUGUUUAAUAGUUAAUUAUAUCUAUUCAUGCAUUAGCAGAUACAUUGGAUCUUCGACUGUAAGAAAUUGUUGAUCAUAUCCCCAUUUGAAUUCCUCAAUCGGAGGAUGUUUGAUUAAUUAAAUCAUUGAAAUUGUGAAGUUGCAGGAAGUAUUUUCGUCUUGGAAAGUUCUGGCUAGGAGCCAAGGAGUGAACUUACAGGGUUGCAAAGAAGAAAAGAAUCUUUCUGGGAUCAGCCGUCCAUAAGGGGGAAGAUCGCCUGAGGCUGAGUCUCUUGCCACCAAAUUUGCUUUCAU
rnacentral:lncRNA from 1 species